ensembl:snRNA U6 U6 spliceosomal RNA
GUGCUCACUUUGGCAGCACAUAUACUAAAGUUGGAACAAUACAGAGACGAUUAGAAUGGUCCCUGUGCAAGGACGACACCCAAAUUUAUGAAGCUUUCUAUAUUAAA